ACACACACAGAGAAAUAUUUAUUUGUUCUUAGCCAAACCAACAGUGUUUAGGUAACCUAGGGUUGCUUUUCUCCCUGGGAAUGACGCAGGGAGUGACCAUGACAUUGUUGCCUAACGUUGUGAAGACGACACUUCUAAAUUAAAUUCUAGGAAGGCUAGGUUGCAGAACACCCCUCCCCAGUUGCCCUUCGGCUGUGAUUUUUGGACGUACUCAAAGUGCACAGCCGAUGGACCUUCCGUAUUAGCUUGUGACUCUUAGGGGAAAACAUUAAUGAAAUGCUUUGGGCAGUUUCCUUAAAAAAACAAAACAAAACAAAAACAAGGCGAUGUUUCUGGAAAGAAAAAGACAGAAAAGCUUAGCAAGUAGUGCUCAAAGUUCGAUGGCUUUUGUUUAUCCUCUGAACCGAAAACUCGUGAAGAUUUAUCAUGUUACCCAAAGGAAGCCAUGAUGCUGUUUUCUCGCAAAAUACCAAGGAAUUGGCGCCUUCCAGCAUUGGGUGAAUAUGUAGUGGAAGAAACGGAGGGAGGUUUGCCAGAUCCCAGGCAAAGCAUCAUGCCAUCUAGGAGGGGGUGUGGACCCUGCGCCAUAACAAAGCUAGUAUUUAGAGAGCACUUACUGUAUGCAACUAAACACUUUAUGUGUCUUAACUCACCUAAUCCCCACAACAACCUGGAGGAAAACACUAUUAUCUCCAUCUUACAGAGCAGGAACAGGCCUGCCCAAGUAGGUCAGAGUCAGCCGGCAUCUAAACCUAACUUGCCUGGCUCCAGAGUUAGGUUCCUACUCAUCAGGAGGCUUUCUAAACUUGUAACGUCGACAACAAAACGCCCAAGUACAGGAAAGAGAGAUGUCUAACCAAACAGCGUGUUAAGAGGUUUUAUGGAUGGCUGACAGAUGUGAAAUCUUCAAGGUCAACAGGUGGAGAAAGGAUCUGGACAGAAAUAGACUCUCAGGGGAAGGAGCAGCCUGACCUGACAGAAAGAAGCAGCAGUUUGGGUGUGUGCCAAUCGAUGAUGACAGCACGCGUGGGAGGAAUGCUGCAGAGAGAGGCUUCGCUAGAUCCUUCAAGGUCCUUUAGGGCUAGGCUUUCCCGGCCCCGGUUAUCUACCGGGGCUGGGGGUUGGUGUUAAAAUUCUCAAGCUAGUAUGUGCUCAUCCCUUACUUUCUGCAGGGUCUCCCCUGCCAGCGAUCAAGGAAGACAACACAUCCAGGUUUCUUUCUGGGGAAGCACUGAGUGGAGACAGUCAAGGUCACCCACGAUUGGGUACAGUGUGUCCAAGCGGACCACUAGAGUCCUGUGCCAGACACUUGGCUGUCAGCCGGGCCUGGCCAACGCAGGAACGUGCGCACCGCCGGAGCCUGGCGGCGACAGUCACCUGCUCAGCGGGUACAGAAAGACCUGUUCUCUGCUUUCCCCACGGGCGGGCCACCGCCCCAGGUCUCCAGGCCCCAGAAGGUCAGGAGGUUGUCCUCUGGGGACUCCCGCCACCCGCACCAUCCUCAUCACCCCAAGGAAUAAAAGCCUCAGCGAUUGGAACACGCUACGCCAAUCAUCCUAGCCUCUGCCCACACCUCCUCCGGUGUACAUUGCAUUGGUUGCAUCAUACAAGCCUCCGAUAAGAUCCUCUUCUCGAAUUGGCUAGUAGAGGCUUGCCCCGCCUAACCCUUCUUAGUCGGAAGGUUGUGAUUGGUUAAGCGCGUUGCCAAGCUCCGGACGCGGCUCGACCAUUGGAAGCCGCGGGCUGCCCCGCCCGCCGGCGAAGGUGAGAGUCUCCUCCAGUCACCGGACCCCGCACCGCACAGAGCUGCUCCCGGCUCGUUCUCGAGGUCUCGGCACAUUCUGUCGCGAUGGCGCCUCCAUCAGUCUUUGCCCAGGUUCCGCAAGCUCCUCCGGUUCUGGUCUUUAAGCUCACUGCGGACUUCCGGGAUGAUCCAGAUCCCCGCAAGGUUAACCUCGGCGUGGGAGCGUACCGCACAGAUGAAUCUCAGCCCUGGGUUUUGCCAGUAGUGAGGAAGGUCGAACAGAAGAUUGCUAACGACAACAGCCUCAACCACGAGUACCUGCCCAUCCUGGGCCUGGCAGAGUUCCGGAGCUGUGCUUCUCGCCUAGUUCUUGGGGACAACAGCCUGGCUAUCAGGGAGAAUCGGGUUGGAGGGGUGCAGUCUUUGGGAGGGACAGGCGCUCUUCGGAUUGGAGCUGACUUCUUAGGGCGAUGGUACAAUGGUACAGAUAACAAGAACACACCAAUCUACGUAUCAUCACCAACCUGGGAGAACCAUAAUGCUGUGUUUUCUGCCGCCGGUUUUAAGGACAUUCGGCCCUAUUGCUACUGGGAUGCGGAGAAGAGAGGACUGGACCUCCAGGGUUUCCUGAAUGAUCUGGAGAAUGCCCCCGAGUUCUCCAUCUUUGUCCUCCAUGCCUGUGCGCACAACCCAACAGGGACCGACCCGACUCCAGAGCAGUGGAAGCAGAUCGCUGCUGUCAUGCAGAUGAGAGAGUGGGGAAUCUGACCGUGGUCGGAAAAGAGUCUGACAGCGUCCUGCGGGUCCUUUCCCAGAUGGAGAAGAUUGUACGAAUCACCUGGUCCAAUCCCCCAGCCCAAGGAGCUCGGAUUGUGGCCGCCACCCUCUCUGACCCGGAGCUCUUUAAGGAGUGGAAAGGUAACGUGAAGACAAUGGCUGACCGGAUUCUGACCAUGAGAUCCGAACUCAGGGCAAGACUAGAAGCUCUCAAGACCCCCGGGACUUGGUCUCACAUCACUGAGCAGAUUGGAAUGUUCAGUUUCACCGGCUUGAACCCCAAGCAGGUCGAGUAUUUGGUCAACGAGAAGCAUAUCUAUCUCCUGCCGAGUGGUCGGAUCAACAUGUGCGGCUUGACCACCAAGAACCUAGAUUACGUCGCUACCUCCAUCCAUGAAGCCGUCACCAAAAUCCAGUGAAGAAACACCUCGUAGUUCACGCCACCAAAGCAGUUCUUGUCACACCUUUCCUGCCUGCGCAAACCUAGCUGUACCUAGCUGUACACGUCCUUUAUUAGAGAUGACCGAGGGGAAGCAGCUGCUGUUUAGCUGACCCCCCACAUGAGAAGACGUUUCUUGAAAUGAGCCCCGGGGGCUCUGGGGUUAGAGCCUGUUGGAAACCAGAGUAGAUUAAAGUUAUUUAAGAAUAAAAAGAACUUUGGCUAUGAGAUGUAAUCACCUUGCCUUCCUCUCUAGCAUUCUGCAGGAGUGAUGCCCACGGAGCCUUGGGCUUCUGCGUGUUGCCUGACUGUACAAAAGUCUAGUCUCAAAGAUCAAGUUGGUCUGAGGAGCCGGAUGUGACUGUGGGUGUUGGCUGGGGCAUUAAAACUCAUCAUCGCCACCCAUCUCUGUCUCUCGUCACCCUGAUCUCCCCGCACGGUUGUGUCCCUGGUCUGGAACAUUAGUUUUUUUAAGGCAACUGUGGCCAAUAUUUAUAUCAUGACAUACAAAUGGAUUUACGUAUUUGACUGAAAUGAAAGUUCCACUAAACGGUAUUUGCUCUUGUGAUAUGUGGCACAUUGUGAUAUUUUCUUAGUCUGUUCUGUUUUAUUUAAAAAAUAAAACUGCUGAUCAAGACAAGUGAAA